AUUGAACGCUGGCGGCAGGCUUAACACAUGCAAGUCGAGCGGGGUGAUGGUGCUUGCACUAUCACUUAGCGGCGGACGGGUGAGUAAUGCUUAGGAAUCUGCCUAUUAGUGGGGGACAACAUCUCGAAAGGGAUGCUAAUACCGCAUACGUCCUACGGGAGAAAGCAGGGGAUCACUUGUGACCUUGCGCUAAUAGAUGAGCCUAAGUCGGAUUAGCUAGUUGGUGGGGUAAAGGCCUACCAAGGCGACGAUCUGUAGCGGGUCUGAGAGGAUGAUCCGCCACACUGGGACUGAGACACGGCCCAGACUCCGACGGGAGGCAGCAGUGGGGAAUAUUGGACAAUGGGGGGAACCCUGAUCUAGCCAUGCCGCGUGUGUGAAGAAGGCCUUAUGGUUGUAAAGCACUUUAAGCGAGGAGGAGGCUCUUUUGGUUAAUACCCAAGAUGAGUGGACGUUACUCGCAGAAUAAGCACCGGCUAACUCUGUGCCAGCAGCCGCAGUAA
rnacentral:rRNA from 1 species